rnacentral:rRNA from 1 species
GGCUACACACGUGCUACAAUGGGUAGAACAGAGAGUUGCAAAGCCGUGAGGUGGAGCUAAUCUCAGAAAACUAUUCUUAGUUCGGAUUGUACUCCGCAACUCGAGUACAUGAAGUUGGAAUCGCUAGUAAUCGCGAAUCAGCAAUGUCGCGGUGAAUACGUUCUCGGGUCUUGUACACACCGCCCGUCACACCACGAGAGUUGGUUGCACCUGAAGUAGCAGGCCUAACCGUAAGGAGGGAUGCUCCGAGGGUGUGAUUAGCGAUUGGGGUGAAGUCGUAACAAGGUAUCCGUACGGGAACGU